GAUUUCUUGGCUGCGGCUGCGGCAGCGGCUGCGGCUACGGCGGCGGCGCAGAUCCUGAGCCAAGCUGGGCGGGCACGUGCAACAAAGAAGCUGAUCCAUCUCCUCCUCGAUGUCUCCAAUCCGUUUCUUCGCCCGUGGCGUGAUUUGAGUCAGAUUGGAUCGGAUUCCUCACCUCCUCCCCACUCUCAGGCUCCCAGAUCAGCUCUUCGUCGUCCUCCUCCGCCCACCCCCCGUCACCUCCUCUCGCGAUUCAGCACUAGCUUGGCGGUCGUGGAUCCUUGCCUCCUUCCCGGCCGACCGCUUCUUGUUCUGCGAAUAGGCCACCACGGUUCUUCAUUCUUCAGAAGUUUGACAUGGAAAAGAUGAUCCCGAGUCUAAAUUUGCAAUUCUCAUCACAUGAUCCAGUAAUGGAGGGUAGCAGUGCGAUGUCUCCUCUAGGAGAGCCCUCAAUUCCAAUGAUCGCAGCAUGUGCACCAGCACUAUCAGGACAUAUGCACACAAUGUCGGAUUUGGUGUGCGUCUUGGACAACAGAGGGUCGUAGAUAAUGUGCUUCAAUGGAAACGCUUCCUGUGUGCAAAUGAAGGCUUCCGUCCC